rnacentral:lncRNA from 1 species
UGUGUGCAUCUCCUUCGUAACAAAAAAAGAUAGCGACAAAAUUCUUUUUACAAAUUGUUCGUUACAUCCUCACUAAUUUUUGGCUCAUUUGGAUCGAAGCGAUUCGAUGAAAUUUUAUAGGAGUUAUCUACCUUUACGGAAUAAAUUUGUCGGUAUGUUUUUUUAACUCAUAAACCGUUAACCGUAUAACCCUGGAAUGUUUUUAUUUGAGUCCCCUGGAUCCUAACUUAGAAAAUUAGGUCAAGGUCAAAGGUCAAGGUCAUAUUUUAGAUUUUUAUAAGUUUUUCAUUUCCCUAUAAUUCUUGAACGGUUAUAGAUACAAAAAUAUUAAGCAGUGAAAAAUGCUUGGUACUUCAAGGGGCAACUUUUUUACAUUAUGACUAUAUUGAUUUUACCAUCAUGUAAGGGACAUAACUCCCAUCGAUGGUUUUUAAAAAGCCAUUUUUAGGCAAAACUCUUUAACAAAAGGUCCUUGACCCAUAGGGUCUUUUGCAAUGACCUUGUGUAGCAAUGACCUUGACGAAAGUCACAAGGUCAAAGGUCAAGGUCAUCAAAUUAUGUGGUUUUGGCACUAUUUAAACAGUUUUAUGUGUGUUUGAAUUUCAACCAACCAACCAACCAACCAAUCAAUCAAUCAAUCAAUCAAUCAAUCAAUCAAUCAAUCAAUGUUUCCGUUUCAUGUGUUUGAUACGGGAUUCAAGGUCUCUUUUUUUUCGCUUGUUUUAAUUGAGCCUAUCAAACGUGUUUAACCAAUAUGUUUAACCAACGUGUUUAACCAACAUGUUUAACCAACGUGUUUAACCAAAACCAACCAACCAACCAACCAAUCAAUCAAUGCAUGUUUCCGUUUCAUGUGUUAAAUACGGGAUCCAAGAUGUGUUUUUUUUUCGCUUGUUUAAAUUGAGCCUAUCCAACGUGUUUAACCAGCCAACGUGUUUAACCAAUAUGUUUAACCAACAUGUUUAACCAACCAACCAACCAACCAACCAACCAACCAACCAAUCAAUCAAUGCAUGUUUCCGUUUCAUGUGUUAAAUACGGGAUCCAAGAUGUGUUUUUUUUUUCGCUUGUUUAAAUUGAGCCUAUCCAACGUGUUUCACCAAUAUGUUUAACCAACGUGUUUAACCAACAUGUUUAACCAACGUGUUUAACCAACCAACCAAUCAAUGCAUGUUUCCGUUUCAUGUGUUAAAUACGGGAUCCAAGAUGGUUUUUUUUCCGCUUGUUUAAAUUGAGCCUAUCCAACGUGUUUAACCAGCCAAUAUGUUUAACCAACGUGUUUAACCAACAUGUUUAACCAACGUGUUUAACCAACCAACCAACCAAUCAAUCAAUCAAUGCAUGUUUCCGUUUCAUGCGUUAAAUACGGGAUCCAAUUUUGAGCCUAUCCAAUGUGUUUAACCAACGUGUUUAAGCAACAUGUUUAAACAACGUGUUUAACCAACCAACCAACCAACCAACUAAUCAACCAAUCAAUCAAUCAAUCAAUCAAUCAAUCAAUCAAUCAAUCAUGAUCAUGAUCAAUAAAUCAUGUUUCAUGAAAAAUCGAAAUUCAAUAUUGUUCUUGCGUCACUUCUGAAAAAAAAUCCACAUGUACUCUGAAACUACAAGUACAAUCGACCUCAAAAUUUGCAGUCAGCAGGGCAUACAUGUACUGAAAGUUUAUAAAAAAACUUGGUGCAGAUAUCUCUCAAAGCUUUUCCUAGACAAAAGAAAUGGCAAUGCCGUAAAAAUCGCUUGCUAGGUCCGUAAAUCUCAGUAAAAACCUACAAUAAAAUGUCCGCUCCGAGAUUGAAAUACUAAUCUGUGUUACAAACAGGUGCUGAAAAAUGUACAAUAUCAGAAAAUAAUCAAUAAAUGUGUUUUAAAGUAACACCGGAUCAAUUAAAUCCAAAACAUGCACUGCCCGUGAACUGUCAUCAAGUUGUCAAUUUCCUACAAUGACAAAAGAAAUUACAUUGUGUACAUUCCAUCUCUAUACAUGUUGUCUGUUCAAGGUCCCGACCUAAAAAGAAAUUAAAAGACUAAGUUUUUCUUAAUAUAAACCCGCGUCACGUGAUGUCUCCUCAAUCUUGCGCGCGCGCUGUAUCUAAAAUAAAAGAAAAACUUUCCAAACUAAACAUGAAACUUCUCCGGUAACAUAAUAAUAUAGACCCCAUACCAAAGCAAACAAACAAACAAAUAAACAAAUACCCCCCCCCUUUUCCAAAUCAAU